rnacentral:rRNA from 1 species
AUUGAACGCUGGCGGCAGGCCUAACACAUGCAAGUCGAACGAGUGGCGGACGGGUGAGUAAUGUCUGGGAAACUGCCCGAUGGAGGGGGAUAACUACUGGAAACGGUAGCUAAUACCGCCUACCAUCGGAUGUGCCCAGAUGGGAUUAGCUAGUAGGUGGGGUAACGGCUCACCUAGGCGACGAUCCCUAGCUGGUCUGAGAGGAUGACCAGGCACACUUGAAAUGAGACACGGUCCAGACUCCUACGGGAGGCAGCAGUGGGGAAUAUUGAAGAACGGGCGCAAGCCAGAUGCAGCCAUGCCGGGUGUAGGAAGAAGUAAUUCAGGUCGUAAAGUACUUUCAGCGAGGAGGCGUUACUCGCAGAAGAAGCACCGGCUAACUCCGUGCCAGCAGCCGCGGUAAUAC